UACCCCCACCUUAACUCGAGAUUUCAUAUUAUUGCCUUUUCUCACUUCUCGCGGAACCUACGAGCGACAAAAUUCCGGACGUACGCGUGUGACUCCAGGGGUUCGUGAAACUACAUCUCCCAGGAUGCUCUUUGUUGUAUGCGUCAUUGGGGCAGCUGGGUAUGGGGUGCUUAGAGAGACGUCAAAGGCUAGGCUUCUCAACCUGCUCUUGACUCAGAAGGUAGCUGCGAAGACGAGAUUAACGAGGAAUGAACACGUGACCCAUCAAACCACAAAAUAAAGGUGCAAUCGUCUUCCAAGUACAAUGCCGAUCAUAGUUUGUAUACAUUUUCUUGCCAAUAAAGUAUUAUUCACGUAAAUGAAUGAUAAUGGCUUGGCAAUAAAGAAUACUCUGGACAAA